ACCAGGCUGCAGAGCGUGGUAAUGGUAGCUUGCUGCCUGACCUAGCGGCGGACGGGUGAGGAAUGCUACAGGAGUUUGUCUACUGCAGGGGGACAACAUUCCGAAAGGAAUGCUACUACCUGCAUACGCCCUGACGGGGGAAAGCAGGGGAUCUUCGGACCUUGCGCUCAUCGAUGAGCCGAAGCCAGAUUAGCUAGUGGGGGGGGUAAAGGCCUACCAAGGGCACCAUCUGUAGCUGGGCCUGAGAGGACGAUCCGGCGCACUGGGACUGAUACACGGCCCAGACUCCUACGGGCGGCAGCAGUGGGGAACAUUGGACAAUGGGCGAAAGCCUGAAUCAUUCAUGCCGGGAGAGUGAAGAAGGCCUUACGAUUGUAAAGCACUUUAAGCGAGGAGGAGGCUGUGAGAAUAAUAUUGUUGGAUACGCGGACGUUACUCGCAGAAUACGCAGCGGCUAACUCUAUGCCAACAGGCUGAGGUAAUACAGAGGGUUGCGAGCG
rnacentral:rRNA from 1 species